rnacentral:rRNA from 1 species
UACGGAGGGUGCGAGCGUUGUCCGGAAUCAUUGGGCGUAAAGGGCGCGUAGGUGGCGGGACAAGCGUGCGGUGAAAGCUCGGGGCUCAACCCCGCGUCGGCCGUGCGAACUGUUUUGCUUGAGCACUGUAGAGGCAGGCGGAAUUCCGGGUGUAGCGGUGGAAUGCGUAGAGAUCCGGAAGAACACCGGUGGCGAAGGCGGCUCACUGGACUGGUAUUGACGCUGAGGUGCGAAAGCGUGGGGAGCAAACAGG